AUUGAACGCUGGCGGCAGGCCUAACACAUGCAAGUCGAACGAGUGGCGGAAGGGUGAGUAAUGUCUGGGAAACUGCCUGAUGGAGGGGGAUCACUACUGGAAACGGUAGCUAAUACCGCAUACCAUCAGAUGUGCCCAGAUGGGAUUAGCUAGUAGGUGGGGUAACGGCGCACCAAGGCGACGAUCCCUAGCUGGUCUGAGAGGAUGACAGUCCACACUGGAACUGAUACACGGUCCAGACUCCUACGGUAGGCAGCAGUGGUGAAUAUUGCACAAUGGGCGCAAGCCUGAUGCAGCCAUUCCGCGUGUAUGAAGAAGUCCUUCGGGUUGUAAAGUACUUUCAGCGGGGAGGCGUUACCCGCAGAAGAAGCACCGGCUAACUCCGUGCCAGCAGCCGCGGUAAUAC
rnacentral:rRNA from 1 species